rnacentral:tRNA from 1 species
GAUUCUAAACUAAACUAUACUUU